AAACACAAAUACAAAUUGCCAUGCUGACCAAAAUAUUCAGAUUACCAAAUCUGACUAGUGAUGUUUGUGCAGAUAACUAAACACAAUAAUGGCAGGAUCAGGAACUGUUUUCUCUUCUGCUUUGGAAGGGAUGAAUCAUGUUAAAUCCAAAUCCGGCGAGAUGCUUGCCAAACCUUUCUUGGAUGUGUGCAAACACUUGCUGCCUGUUUUAGACAAGUUUGGAGCUGCCUUUGCCCCUGUGAAAUCUGAUAUUGGUAAUAACAUAUCGAGGUUGGAUUCUAAGU